rnacentral:tRNA from 1 species
AGGUAUAGCUCAAGUGGUAGAGCACAUGCUUAGCAUGCACAAGGUCCUGGGUUCAAUCCCCAGUACCU